UCCAGGUUGAUCCUGCCAGAGGUUACUGCUAUCGGUGUUCGACUAAGCCAUGCGAGUCAUAUGUUCUUCGUGAACAUGGCGGACUGCUCAGUAACACGUGGAUAACCUGCCCUUAGGUUCGGCAUAACUCCGGGAAACUGGAGAUAAUUCCGAAUAGGUCACAUAUGCUGGAAUGCUUUUUGACCAAAAGACCUCGGUUGCCUAAGGAUGGAUCUGCGGUCUAUCAGGUAGUAGUGGGUGUAACGUACCUACUAG
rnacentral:rRNA from 1 species